rnacentral:sRNA from 18 species
AAGAUUAAAGCCUGGAAGCGAUUCGCAGGAAAACCUUAGAGGAGUCAAAGAUAUGACA